rnacentral:rRNA from 2 species
UGCAGUCGAGCGGAUCUUCAUUAGCUUGCUUUUGAAGAUCAGCGGCGGACGGGUGAGUAACACGUGGGCAACCUGCCUGUAAGACUGGGAUAACUUCGGGAAACCGGAGCUAAUACCGGAUAAUCCUUUCCCUCACAUGAGGGAAAGCUGAAAGACGGUUUCGGCUGUCACUUACAGAUGGGCCCGCGGCGCAUUAGCUAGUUGGUGAGGUAAUGGCUCACCAAGGCAACGAUGCGUAGCCGACCUGAGAGGGUGAUCGGCCACACUGGGACUGAGACACGGCCCAGACUCCUACGGGAGGCAGCAGUAGGGAAUCUUCCGCAUGGACGAAAGUCUGACGGAGCAACGCCGCGUGAACGAUGAAGGCUUUCGGGUCGUAAAGUUCUGUUGUCAGGGAAGAACAAGUACCGGAGUAACUGCCGGUACCUUGACGGUACCUGACCAGAAAGCCACGGCUAACUACGUGCCAGCAGCCGCGGUAAUACGUAGGUGGCAAGCGUUGUCCGGAAUUAUUGGGCGUAAAGCGCGCGCAGGCGGUUCCUUAAGUCUGAUGUGAAAGCCCCCGGCUCAACCGGGGAGGGUCAUUGGAAACUGGGGAACUUGAGUGCAGAAGAGGAGAGCGGAAUUCCACGUGUAGCGGUGAAAUGCGUAGAGAUGUGGAGGAACACCAGUGGCGAAGGCGGCUCUCUGGUCUGUAACUGACGCUGAGGCGCGAAAGCGUGGGGAGCGAACAGGAUUAGAUACCCUGGUAGUCCACGCCGUAAACGAUGAGUGCUAAGUGUUAGAGGGUUUCCGCCCUUUAGUGCUGCAGCAAACGCAUUAAGCACUCCGCCUGGGGAGUACGGCCGCAAGGCUGAAACUCAAAGGAAUUGACGGGGGCCCGCACAAGCGGUGGAGCAUGUGGUUUAAUUCGAAGCAACGCGAAGAACCUUACCAGGUCUUGACAUCCUCUGACAACCCUAGAGAUAGGGCGUUCCCCUUCGGGGGACAGAGUGACA